CCGCCAUGGAUUCACCUCCUUCACACCGUCAAAACCACUAUCACAAACCCACAAAGCUCACAGGUCUACAACCCACCUUCACCGGCGACUUACCUCAACCGCGCUCCCUACUCCGAUACGGUUCUCCCCCGCUUUGUCAUCACCGCCUCAAAACAAAUCACAGCCACCACAAAUCCACUGUUUAUCGCACGCUCAAGGACGCGAUUCUCCCCUAGAAAAUAAGAAAUCAGCGGUUUUGGUUUUGACCCCAUUUCAGGUUUAAGUCACGUCGCCCCAAGAUCAACCCCAAAUGCUUUUGCUCAACCUGAUGCGUAAUCGUCAGAUCGUUUCCUCGACGUUCCACUAACAGCACAUCUGAAGGUCUCGUUAGGAUUUGUGUGACGAGAGUCACGUGGUGCCUUUUCAAAUAAUAUCAACCUUAGAGAGUCUCAGUUGGGAAAGUGGAUCUUCUAGGUGGUCCUUAAACAGAUAGACACGCAAAGAGACGUUUGGCCAUGGAGCAGUGUGUACAAUAACGAGUUAGUCAUCUACGGUUCCUCAUCAGGGCCACGAGUGGAAAAUCAGUCUUAAGAAGAAAUCCCAAACAGUGAAGGAAGAACGAUACGCCUUCAUUGGACUCGAUUCAGGCAGUUGCAUAUUGCGUCAUGUCAUUGAUUUAGUGUUCGUUGAUUUUCGGUAAUUUCAUUUUGCUUCCUGGCUUGAUUUGAAUCCGAGUUUUAGAUUGUGUUGUGUAUUGUUUUAUCUAUAUCCUACUGUGCUUAUGUGGAACAUCUUUGAUGGUAUGCGGUUAUAAUAGGUAGUGAGUAAACUGGGUUGUUUGAUUUGUAAAGUUCAUGUUUGGUUUAGAUGCAAUUUUUUCUGUUAUGUUACAAAUUAAGUGCUGGUGUAGAAUUGAGGUAGAUUGAUUAUUAAAUUGUGGUGUAAUAUUUG
rnacentral:lncRNA from 1 species